rnacentral:rRNA from 1 species
CGGCAGGCUUAACACAUGCAAGUCGAACGGUAACAGAAAAUAGCUUGCUAUUUUGCUGACGAGUGGCGGACGGGUGAGGAAUGCUUGGGAAUAUGCCUUCUUACUAAGGGAUAAUUGAUGGAAACGUCUUGUAAUACCUUAUAUGCCCUUUAAGACAUAAGUCUGCAAGGGAAACAUUUAUGGCUCUAGGAUGAGACUGUACGGUAUCAGCUAGUUGGUGAGGUAAUGGCUCACCAAGGCAAUGACACCUAACUGGUUUGAGAGGAUGAUCAGUCACACUGGAACUGAGACACGGUCCAGACUCCUACGGGACGCAGCAGUGGGGAAUAUUGCACAAUGGAGGAAACUCUGAUGCAGCAACGCCGCGUGGAGGAUGACACUUUUCGGAGCGUAAACUCCUUUUAUAUGGGAAGAUAAUGACGGUACCAUAUGAAUAAGCACCGGCUAACUCCGUGCCAGCAGCCGCGGUAAUACGGAGGGUGCAAGCGUUACUCGGAAUCACUGGGCGUAAAGAGCGUGUAGGCGGGUUAAUAAGUCAGAUGUGAAAGCCAAUGGCUCAACCAUUGAACUGCACUUGAAACUGUUAAUCUAGAAUAUGGGAGGGGCAGAUGGAAUUAGUGGUGUAGGGGGAAAAUCCGUAGAUAUCACUAGGAAUACCGAAAGCGAAAGCGAUCUGCUGGGAAGUUAUUGACGCUGAGGCACGAAAGCGUGGGGAGCAAACGGGAUUAGAUACCCCGGUAGUCCACGCCCUAAACGAUGAAUGCUAGUCGUCGGAAAGCUCGUCUUUUCGGUGAUGCAGUUAACACAUUAAGCAUUCCGCCUGGGGAGUACGGUCGCAAGAUUAAAACUCAAAGGAAUAGACGGGGACCCGCACAAGUGGUGGAGCAUGUGGUUUAAUUCGAAAAUACGCGAAGAACCUUACCAAGCCUUGACAUUGAUUGAAUCCCGUAGAGAUACAGGAGUGCUAGUUUACUAGAACAUGAAAACAGGUGCUGCACGGCUGUCGUCAGCUCGUGUCGUGAGAUGUUGGGUUAAGUCCCGCAACGAGCGCAACCCUCGUCGUUAGUUGCUAACAGUUCGGCUGAGCACUCUAGCGAGACUGCCUUCGAAAGGAGGAGGAAGGUGAGGACGACGUCAAGUCAUCAUGGCCCUUAUGGCUAGGGCUACACACGUGCUACAAUGGGGCGUACAGAGAGUUGCGAUACCGUGAGGUGGAGCUAAUCUCAUAAAGCGUCUCUCAGUUCGGAUUGAUCUCUGCAACUCGAGAUCAUGAAGCUGGAAUCACUAGUAAUCGUAGAUCAGCAACGCUACGGUGAAUACGUUCCCGGGUCUUGUACUCACCGCCCGUCACACCAUGGGAGUUGAUUUCACCCGAAAUCGGGAUGCCAAACUGGCUACCGCUUACGGUGGAAUUAGCGACUG